rnacentral:rRNA from 1 species
AUGUAUCAAAAAAGGCUCGAAUUUGAGGCAUCGGAAAAGGGCAAGGAGGAGCAGGAAAAGUACCGCAGCACCCCUCCCUGGAGCUGGAGGCCGGCAGUUCCCAUUACUGAAGUCACUAACCAACCACCAGCUUUCGAAUGGGUUCCAUCUUUUGACGUUGAUAAGUUUGGGAGAAUAUCUGUACUGAAGUGUACAAGUUGGAGAGUCGAGGAAUACACAUUGGAACUUGCUGAGUGUGUGGUUGGACUUCAGUCAUUUACAGAAGACAAGCAUCUUUUCUCUUGCUCUGGAACAAUUGUUGAGUUUCUAAAGGGUGUUGGUUGUGUGGUAACAUCUGCUAGUUUAGUUAAAUUGCCACACCAAGAUGAGAUAGCUGAUAAACUCAAGGUCAAUGUAUGCUUACCAAGCGGAGAAACACUUGAGGGCUCAGUAUCAAAUGUGGACUUUUGUUACAACAUAUGUGUGGUACAUGUCCGGUCAACUUCGCAGCUGCCAGCGAAAAGGUUCAGUGCGGACACUACAUUUUUCAAUUUCGAUGACUGCCAUUCGAAAGAUGUUGUAGCUUUAGGCCGCCUUUGUAAGCGAUGGAGCUUGAACGUUGCUUCUGGAAAGCUAACCCCAAGAAGAAGCCAGUUUGAUUGUGAAGAACUUCUUGUUUCAUCUUGCAGAAUUUCAAAGAGAGGUGUUGGGGGUCCUCUGAUGGAUUUUGAUGGAAAUAUCAUCGGAAUGAACUUCUAUGACAAGAAAGAAACCCCUUUCGUUCCAGGUUUCAUCGUGUUGAAGUGUUUGCAACACUUCAAUGAUUUCGGGAGGGUCAUACGACCGUUGCAUGGACUGAGAGUUAAAACUCUUCACGAAGAACAGCUUACUGUACUUGAGAAGAUACAUCUGGUCUUCCCUGGGGUCUGUGGUGUCAUAGUGGAGAAGGUACAAGUGCCUUCACCUGAACAUUCUGAGAUAAAGGCUGGGGACAGUGGUGUCAUGGUGGACAAGAUAGAAGUACAUUCACCUGAACAUUCUGAGAUAAAGGUUGGGGACAUCAUCACUCAUGUUGAUGGCAUACCUUUCUCCAGUGCUGCAGAGGUUAGUAUCCUUGUAAUAUUAAGUUUCUUAUAG